ACCACCGCCAGGCGUUAGCUGGAAGGGAAGGACUCUUCUUUGGAGGGGUGGUACCUGGCCAACAGGUGUGGCACCUGGAGGAAGAGAAGGCACGGCCAUGCUAAAGGGAGCUCAGUGCGGCGUUUUCCUGGCUGCAGAUAAUUCUGGAAGACCGGUAUCAUCGGAUGCAUCUCCUCUGAAAGCCGAUCAAGUUACAAGGUGAUGCCUUCCAACCCCUCCCCCAUCUCUGGUUUAAAAGUUGUAGCUGAAAUACCAAUAGUAAGAACAUGUGACCCCAGCACUCCCAGCGGGAGCUUUUCUGCAGUCAAUUUCAUAAUGACUUUGCUCCGCCUCUCUGCUCAGCACUUCCUUCCCCCUCACUCUCCUCUCUCCCCCACCCCCAGCAAUGAAUCAUCCCGCAUUUAAAGAGACUUAGAUGACCCAGUGUGAACUUUACAGGCAUCCUGUACAUUCUUAUGCCAAAAAAGGGAGUUGCUCUGUGACAGAAACCUAGGCAGAUCCCGAUGCAGAUCUCAGAAGUGGGGAGCUGGGGUGCUUAUCUAGGAAGAUCAGUGAGGAGUUAAUUUUCCUAGAUCCUGGUGGGGAUUCAGAAUUGCCUAUCGCAGUUCACGAUCAGGUUUUUAAGAACCCAGUUCAGCUCUUUGUGCAGAAAGGAAUAUAUCAGAGACAAAAAUGUUGGCAGAUCUCCUUUAUGCAAUCAGGGCAGAGGAAUUUAUACCACAUCAGCCUUUUGAUUUCUUCAGAUCUGGCUGAGGGUGGGGUUUCCAUAUUUGUGCUUUGGCAAAUGUGUCCAAGAAUGAACUCUGCCUUAGAGAUGCUCCGAAUGUUCUUUCAGGUUACUGUGUGCUGAUUUGUGCAUUUAAUAUUAAAACCAGAAACAUUCUUGCCCCUUCAUUUCUUUAAUACCGUUUCUGAGUAAUACAGAUUAAGUAGACAAUCUGGGCCUUGCUUUUAGAGACCUUUUCACCCCACUUAAGGCGGUAAAGAGUGGACCACCUAGACAACAUUGUGCUUUCGCAUAUACUUUCUCUCUACCUGGGAAGCCCUUCUUUGCAUGGCGAUCUUUCCCCACCCUCCAGGACCCAGCUCAAGCACCAGCACUUCUGCAAGUCUUCCCUGAUUAUCACAAGACUUUGCAGCUCUGCCCAAUGUGUGAGUCAGAGAAGUGCUAUUUUCUUAUUCUUUUUAUUUAUACAAUAUAUAUUUUCUUAACUCUGACAGAAAAAAAAUCAGGGCCAUAAGCACAGAUGGAGAUUAUCCUAAGUGAGAGCAUCUCUUAUCUAAUAGUUCCUAUACUCCCAAACCCAUUUGACCUCCACUUACGAUUUCACAUGUAACUGUUUUCCUUUUAUUGCUCCAUUUCUGUGGCUCCCCCCACUGGUCAGUUCUCUACGUGAGUUCCUGUUGCCCUCUGUCAUAGGUUGAACUGUGUUCCCCGAAAGAUAUAUUGAAGUCCUAGGCCCCAGGAAAGUGAGUGUGACUUUAUUUGGAAAUAGGGUCUUUGCAGAUGUAAUUAGUUAAGAUGAGGCCUUACCGGAUUAGGGUGGAUCCUGAGUCCAAUAUGACUGCUGCCCUCCUAAGAAGAGGAGGCACAGAAACCGAAGAGACACAGGGCGGGGAAGAAGGGUACAGGAAGACAGAGGCAGAGCUUGGUGUUAUGCUGCCACCAGCCAAGGAAAGCCAAGAACGGCCAGCAACCACCAGGAGCUAGAAGAGGCAACGAAGGAUUCUUCCCUAGAGCCUCAGAGGGAGCAAAGCCUUGCUGACACCUUGAUUUUGGACCUCUAGCCUCCAGAACUAGGCCACUGUGACCAGAACUCAGGUGUAGGAUCUGAAAGUAACCUGGCCACACAAAAAAGUAUAAAACACUACCACCUCUUCACAGACUCACUCCACUUUAUAUUUGAGGGAAACGAUCCUGGAAGCGGAAAUACUUCGAGAGUUCAACAGUCUGGGAAAUUUAAAGGAGGGGGAAAAAAGCCCUGCAUUUCCAAAGAUCUGAAGACAGAACUCUGCUCUCUGAGGACAGCAGGAAGUAAGAAGACCCGAUUCGUGGCUUCAGGAGAGGAAAAGAAAAGAGCCCCACAAGGAAACUACCAACAGAUGGGAAAUCCAGGUGAGAGAAGCCCUACCCUGGAGCAUCUCCGGAAAACUCAUAUAAACCAACAAGAGAGGCAACUUGGUAUAUCUGUCAAGGCCAAAGAACUCUGAUACUAGCUCGUCACACAACCACCAGGCAAGUAAGAACUUUCUUGCUCCCCUCUCCUUAUCUUCCUCCCAGUAAUCUAACCACAGAGAAGUGUGCAGUCACCUUCUGAAAACUGCAGGGGGCAGGGAUCAGAAAAGAAAGGGCACAUGGGUUGCUCUCCUAACCCAGUUGUGGCUCUUUGUAGGAGGCUGAGAUGGGGAUGGGAGAAACCUGUCGAUGUUUUUACUGUGACAUGAAUCCAGACACGUUAAUUACUGACCAAAGGAUAUAUUUCCUGGAAGUGACUAGAAGAAUAAAAAUUUGAUCUAAAUUUCACCCAAGAGCAGAGAAAGUGCUAACUCUGUGGAAUAAAUCUGAAGUGUUGCUUUAUGAUUGAUUACAUCCUAUGAGUCACACUUGUUCAAUGUAACAGUUACAUAACCAUUUCUAAAUGCAAUUGAAUGGAGCAGUUCUUAUAGAACCUUCUGUAGCGUUUUCCCCUAUGAAGUCACCGUGUUUCUGUCUGAAAUCUGGAAAAUUAUAUGUCAAAUUGUCCUCAAAGAGAAUUUUGUCCUUUUUACUUAUUGUUUAUGAGCACUUACGAAAUUUCUAAACUGAAAAGCAUUAUAUGCUUGGUACAGAUUGGGUGUUCAAUAAAUGUUGAAUUAACAAAGAAAUGAAUGGGCAGUGAAGAGAAAUCCUGAUUGCCUGGGUUCUUUAUAAACCCAGGCUAUCCUCAGAUUUCUUUACGGUAGAGUAAGAACUAUCCCAGGUUGGUGAUUUCUGAGACAUUCCAACCAGUCACUUAUGGUCUCCUUACAUGGAAUUAUAAAACAUUAGCGUUAGAAGGACACUUAGGAGGUGAUUUAGUCCAACCCUUUCAUUUUACAGAUGAAGGCCCAAAGAAGUGAAAUAAUUUGAUUAAGGUCACCUUUUUCUAUAGUAUCAGUGCUAGGCCUGGAGACUCUGACAGCUGACUCAUUGAUAGUGACAUUCCUUGGUUUCUGGGCCUCUUGAUAGCUUGGCUUUGGUGGAGUGAUAGCUUAUGUUCUCUUGUUAGUUUUUUCAUCAGUAAAUCAGAAGUUGCACCUAAGAAGCAAACAUGAAAUAUCUACUUGUGCUCAGAAUUGCACCUAUACUUGGAAUAGAGUGAGGAGUGAGGACCACCUACUGCCCUCAAGGAGCUUAUAGCCAAGUGGGGGAGACCGACAAGUAAAACACAACUAUAAUGAAGUGGGCUAAGUGCUAUGAAAGAAAGAAUCACAGUGAGCUACUUAGAAAAAGCACCUCAUCCAGACUAAGGGUCAUGGAGGGCUUGUUAGAGAAGGUGUCAUCUGAGUUGAGUCCUGAGAAUGAGGAAGUGUUAAUAAUCAUGGUGUGUUUGGCAAACCCUGAGGAUUGUACUAUGGAGGUAUCACUGAGUACAAAGGGGUGGGAAGAGAGAUGGGUUAAAGAGAUAAGCAGGAGCCCAAACAUGGAGGGAUUUCCAUGCUAUAGUAAGAUGUGUAUACUUUAUAGAAAGUCUAUCAAAAAUGACUGAAGUAUUUUUUUGCAGGGGACUUAUGAGGCCUGAUUUCUGCCUCAGAUAUAACAGUCUAGCUACAGAAUGGGGAACAGCUUUGAGUGGGAUAAUGUAGGCAGAGAGGCCAGCUGGGAAACUAUUGAAAUAAUCUAGGUAAGAAAAAAUGGCAGUAGAGAUGGAAAAGGCAAAAGAAUUUCAGAGCAAUGUGCUAGGGACUGACUUGUGUACCCCUCUUCCCCUAAAGCCCAAUGUGACGGUAUUUGGAGAUGGGGACUUCGGGAGAUAACCAGGUUUAGAUGAGGUCAUGCAGGUGCCCCCCCCCCCAUGAUGGGAUUAGUGCCCUUAUAAGAAGAAACACCAGAAAGCUUGCAUUCUCCCUUCACCAUGUGAGGGCAAAUUAAGAAGGCAGUCCUCUACAAGCCUGGAAGAGAGUCCUCACCAGAAACUGAACAUGCUUUGAUUUUGGACUUCUAACCUUCAGAACUGUGGGAAAAUAAAUUUCUGUGUUUAAGCUAGCCAGUCUGUGGUAUUUUGUUAUGGCAGCCCGAGCUGAGUAAUACACAAAGGAAGUUGAAUGAAGGAUGUGGUGAUGUAUUAGAUGUAGGGAAUAAGGAGAGUGAGGAGCCAAGGGUUGGAUGAGUGUUCAGACUUACUGUGUAAAGAGGGAAGCCUAAAAAAGGGAACACUGGCAGAGAAAGGGGAAACUUGGUAGAGACCAAAGAGAGUAGCCAGAGAGAUUAAGGGAAAACAGAAGAGGCCAAGAGAAGGGAGGUUUUUUUUUUUAAAAAAGAAGAUAAUGUUCAAUUGUGCAAAUAUUAUAAAGAUGUCAAGGUAAGGUUGAAAGGUGUCCGCUGGCUUCUGUGAUAAAUGCCUUUGGAGACCUUGGCAAGAAUUGUUUCAACACUGUGAGGGCAGAUAUGAUACCACAGUUGAUUGAGGAGAGAAUGAGAUGUCAGGAAGUAUAGACAGCUAGUAUAGAAAGCACAUUUAAGAAUCCUUGCUUUGAAAUGAGGAAGAGAAGUGGAUAGGUAAUGAGAAGGGAAGGAAGCAAGGGGGAUUUUUUUAAUGAUAUAAGCUUUUUAGGAGGGAUGACGUUGAGGACAUACUAGAAGAGAGGCAAUAAUUGAUGAGCAAGGCUACUGAGUGUGCAGGCCACGAUGGGCUACAUAGCUCAGAUGCAGAGACUGGCUUUAGAAGGAGAGGCUUCAUCCUCCAUCAUGGGAGGAAAGUAAGAAUGAAUGCAGAUGUGUGCAAGAUUGUAGGUGCAGAGUCAGUCCUACCUGAUGGCUUCCAUUUUCUUUUUGAGGUAGCAGGUGAGAGUGAGUGAGGUAGGUGGUGAAAUGUUAGGAAAGGGGAUGGAGGAGGUGGCUUCAGUGACUUGUGUGAGGAAUGAGAGAGAGAAACAGAGGGCUGACGAUAAACACAGUAGGCAUGGCUGGCAGCAUGGGGGCAAUUGGAAAUUUUAUACCAUGGAAUUUUGGUGCACCAAUUCCCUCCACUGUGCAAUUUUUCUUCUUCAUACUUAGCUGCCUAAACAUAGAAGAAGGCAGAGAAUUACGCUGUUACAAAGUUUGGGUUUUGCCAGUGAAUGAGAAUGAAGGACAACGGGAAGAAAGUUGAGGAGGUCAAGGAAAUAAAAAGUUAGGAGCUCAGACGAUUUCUACUUCUAGGGAUAUGGAGUAGACGUAUUUUCCCCAUUCUUCCUGCUACGUAUAACUAACAAAAUGCUGGAUAUUAUAUACAAAACAAAUGUAAAAAGACUGAAAGGUGAAGCAAAGAAAGCAGACCAGCUAGGGAUCUUGAGAGUGAGGAGAUGAUACAGUGGUGAGUUCCCUGGGUUUUCCUUUUGUCUCAUAUAUUGCAGACUCAGAGUGGAAGAAGGUGGCAAUCCACAAACACAGACAAAAAGGGCCCCAACAAAGGUCUGCUUUCUCUAAGGACAGGAGAAAGGCAGUCUAGGAAGAUAGAAAACUUUUAGACAAUAAAAGCUUUACCAGCACCAAACAUUACAGAAAAAAUACUGACCCCACCUUCACCAGCAAAGGCUGAAUUGGGGGCCUAGACUUCCACAAUCACCAAGCUGUAACAAAACAUCCUAACCCCUUUGCUGGAAUUUCAUCCUUGCUGGGUGGUAGCUCCUCCUCCUGACCCCCCUACUCCCUAGCUCUGGUAUUGGUUGAGACCAGAUAGGGAGCACAGACUAAUACUCUCACCCUGAAGUAACAAGGCAUUCUUCCCUCUCCCCACUGGGGUGGUGUCAGAGAACGCCUAGGAGUAAUGAAGAGCAUCCUCCCUUGACUGUCAACAGAGGCCAAGUAGGACCUGAACUUCUACCCUCACCUGGCAGUAAUGAAGCAGUGUCUACCACUCCGUCCCCAGCAAGAGCAGUGUCAGAGGAAGCCAGCUAAAACAGAAGGUUGAAAUAAGAUCCAAAGUCUCAAAACAUAUAUCCCAAAUAUCCAGGUUUCAAUAAAAAUUACUUGUCAUACCAACUGUAUUAGGUCCCUAGGACUGCCAUAACAAAGUAUCACAAAUUCGAUAGCUUAAACAACAGAAAUUUAUUCACUCACAGUUCUGGAAGCUAGAAGCCAGAAAUCAGGAUGUCAGCAAGAACAUAUUCCCUCUGAAGUCUCUAGGGAAGAAUCCUUCCUUGCCUUUUUCUAGUUUCUGAUGGCCCCUUCCAUUCCUUGUAGCUGCAUCACUUCAAUCUCUGCCUCUCUCAUCACAUGGCUAUUUUCCUUACGUGUGUGUCUGUGUGUUCUCUUUUUAUAAGGACACUAGUCACUGAAUUUAGGGCUCACCCUAAUAUACUAUGACCUCACCUUAACCAAUUACAUCUGCAAAGACCCUAUUUCCAAAUAAGGUUACAUUCUGAGGUUCCAGGUGAACAUGAAUUUAUGGGGAACAUUAUUCAAGCCACUACACCAUCAUACCAAGAACCAGGAAGGUCUCAAACUGAAUGAAAGAAAACAAUCAAAAGAUGGCAACAGCUACAUGGGAGAUAUGUUAGAAUUAUUCGACAAAGAUUUUAAAGCAUGAUAAAAAUGCUUAUAUGAGCAAUUACAAAAACACAUUAAAAAAAGAAGAUCUCAGCAAACAAAAAGAAGAUACAAGAAGAAACAAAUGGAAAUUUUAGAAGAGAAAAAUACAAUAACCAAAGCAAAAGACUCAGUAGAUGAGCUGAAGAGUAGAGAGGGCAGAAGAAAGAAUCAGUAAACUGGAAGACAGAAUAGAAAUUACCAAUCUAAAUAACAGAAAGAAAAUAUGCUGAAAUAAAAAAUGAACAGAGCCUCAGGGACCUGUUCUAUAUAAUAAAAGGUUUAACAUCCAUGUCAUCAGAAUGUCUCUGGAAAGACAGGAGAGGAGAGGGAGGACUGAAGAAAGUUCUCCCAAAAAUAAUGGCUGAAAACUUCCCAAGUUUGUCAAAAGAUAUAAAUCUAUAGAUUCAAAAAUCUAAGCGAAUCCCAAACAGGAUAAAUCCAAAGUAAUCCACCCUAAGGCACAUGAUAGUCAAACUCCUAAAAACAAAAGAUGAAGAAAAACAUCUUGAAAAACAGCAAAAGAGAAACACUGUACCUAUAGGGGAAAAACAAUUCAAACGACAGUGGAUUUCUCAUCAGAAAUCAUGUAUCACAAUAUUUUUAAGUGCCAAAAGAAAAAAUCCUAUAUCCAGAAGUAUCCUUCGUGAAAUGAAGACACUCUCAGAUGAAGGAAAACUAAAAGAAUUUGUCACCAGCAGACCAACCCUGAAAGAAUGGCUAAAGGAAGUUCUCUAAACAUCAGGAAGAAAGAAGGAGCCAGUAAGCAAAAAUAUGGGUAAAUAUAAUAGGUUUUCCUUCUACUCUUGAGUUUUCUGAAUUAUGUUUGAUUGGAGAAGCAAAAGUUAUAAUACUGUCUGGUUCUAAAUAU